CAAUAAAAACCUGGAGGAUGCGGAAACUAGAGAAGCAAAAAACGCAGAGUCAACUUUGACGUUUAUUAAAUUAAUCACAGCAGACGAAAGAUUUUGAUGCAAUCAUCUUCAUUUGAGAAAUUUAUGUACCUAUGCAUACAGUUAUAUAGCGCAUGUAGUGUUUACAUAAUGCGGCUAUCUCUUAUAAAAACCGAGCGCGAUCCGGAUCAGCAGGGAUCAUAUCAUUGUAGUAUAUAUAAGCUGGCGGCCCUACGGUAGAUUUCAUUACUUUUGAUUUACACCAGUUGACAACGGAAGCCAACAAAGCUGUUUAAAACUUUUUUGUGUACCUAACUAAGCCAACUUCGAGACAUUUCACCUGAUGGUAAAGGAAGUUGGAUUUUCAUAUUAGCUACUAAGUUCCGCGUAAGUUUUCGCCGUACUCGAGAGCAGAAUAACUGGAAUUGCCGGAGUGUAUAGUGUCAAAAAUCGACUUAAUCUGUAGAUAUCUUUAAAGAAUCUUCCCCUAGUGUCCGUUAUCUAAGUACUAGCGAUAACUGCGGUAUGUCUGCCUCCCGUCGAGAUGUUUGUACAACCCCUAGCCAACCGGUUAUAAAUGUACCCCGCAUGUGAUGUCCGGACCAGAGCUCCCGUAGACUUCAACGAGGAAACACCGCAAUAUCAGCAGCCGUAGUGUUAGCACCUCCUAGGAUUUUAUAUCUAUCUUCAGCAUUGUAAUUAUAUAUCUUAAGAAUGGUUGAGUUUAUUUACUUUUUAUGCCUCCUUGGAGUGACAAGCAGAAUCUUCGCUCUACCACUGUCGUCUGCAAACACUGGAGAAGAAAAUGGAAUAUCCGCUGACGUGGUAGACGUCGAAGUUCCUGGACAGUUUCUCAUGAAUUACGAAAACUUGUUGAAUUCUGAUGAAGAUUUAAGCUACCCAAUUUUGCCACUACCCAGAAAUCCCCCACAAUGGCUGAUGACGCUUAUUCAUCAAACCGAGAUCAAAUCAUCUGAGUUUUCUAACAGACAGAAGCGCGCAUAUCCAGACUAUUCCAAUCCUCGUCUUCAAGCCAUUCUACGCGCCUUCUACUCUACGUACGGAUACGACAACAUGAAUCUCCGCUACGGACGUUCAGUUCGCUCCGUAAAAAGCCUCGUUCCUAUUCAACACAGAAUUUUCCACAAUUCAUUUUUAAAACAAAUGAAAGCUGACACUCAUUCCAGAGGUCGUAUUCAGAGAUCAAUAUACAGGAGACCCGAAAUCCAAAAAAUGUUAAGAAUGUUUUAUUCUAGAGGAAAGUUUUUUGGAAAUCAUGGGCUAAGAUAUGGCUAAAGAGGCAAAAGUGUGCUAUACCUUUAGUAAUAAGGUAUAAGAUUGACCUUAAAGGCAGCAUGCUUUAGACAGUAAGUUCGCAAUGGUUUGGACUUUCCAAGGCACUUUGCGAACCUUUGCAAUAAAACCUUGGCGUUGAAUCUCUGAUUUGUAUAUAAUAUACAUAGUACUUUUAUUUAUGAUAUUGUUGUUUAUAUGGUAUAAAAUGUGUUGUAUUAAUGUUGAGAAAGAAAACUCCUCAGGUAAAUUCGUUUUACCUAGAGUAAACAUGUUUAAUAUUGUUUUCCCUGUACAGUCUUUCAUGAGUUUCGAUAUGUUAUAAUGUUAUGCUUUAUUAUAUUUUUCUUAGGUAAAAGUUUAUGUGUUGCUAGUGUUUUAUAUAAUUUAAGCUAAACAGAAGAGAAAAAAAAUCCCAUGCAUUUCUUUUUACUGAUUGGAAAUGCUGCAUCAAAGUUUAACAACUUUAUGUAUAUGUAAAUUAUAGAAUGUUCUGUAUCAAAUUGAAAAAAAAAAAUCAAAAAAUAAAAGAAGUAUCAAAUGUGAUAAACUUUUCAUGAGGCACUUUUUGUAAAUGUUUGUUAAUAACGAUAAAGUAUGUUUCAGUAUUAUAAUUUGCUUUUUGGGACAUUGUUAGAAAUCAAAGUUUCAAAGUAUCUGUUGUUCUUAAAUAAGGAAAAUUAAGUAAAAUUAAAUAAAUUAAUUGCAUCAUU